rnacentral:rRNA from 1 species
UGGGGAAUAUUGCACAAUGGGCGCAAGCCUGAUGCAGCCAUGCCGCGUGUGUGAAGAAGGCCUUCGGGUUGUAAAGCACUUUCAGCGAGGAGGAAGGUGGUGAACUUAAUACGUUCAUCAAUUGACGUUACUCGCAGAAGAAGCACCGGCUAACUCCGUGCCAGCAGCCGCGGUAAUACGGAGGGUGCAAGCGUUAAUCGGAAUUACUGGGCGUAAAGCGCACGCAGGCGGUUUGUUAAGUCAGAUGUGAAAUCCCCGGGCUCAACCUGGGAACUGCAUUUGAAACUGGCAAGCUAGAGUCUCGUAGAGGGGGGUAGAAUUCCAGGUGUAGCGGUGAAAUGCGUAGAGAUCUGGAGGAAUACCGGUGGCGAAGGCGGCCCCCUGGACGAAGACUGACGCUCAGGUGCGAAAGCGUGGGGAGCAAACAGGAUUAGAUAACCCCUGGUAGUACCACGCUGUAAAACGAUGUCGAUUUUGGAGGUUGUGCCCUUGAGGCGUGGCUUCCGGAGCUAACGCGUUAAAGUCGACCGCCU